rnacentral:rRNA from 1 species
UAAUACCGUAUACGCCCUACGGGGGAAAGAUUUAUUGCUAUUAGAUGAGCCUAUAUUAGAUUAGCUAGUUGGUAAGGUAAUGGCUUACCAAGGCAGUAAUCUAUAGCUGAUCUGAGAGGAUGAUCAGCCACACUGGAACUGAGAUACGGUCCAGACUCCUACGGGAGGCAGCAGUGGGGAAUAUUGGACAAUGGGCGAAAGCCUGAUCCAGCCAUGCCGCAUGAGUGAAGAAGGCUUUUGGGUUGUAAAGCUCUUUCAGUGAGGAAGAUAAUGACGGUACUCACAGAAGAAGUCCUGGCUAACUCCGUGCCAGCAGCCGCGGUAAUACGGAGAGGGCUAGCGUUAUUCGGAAUUAUUGGGCGUAAAGGGCGCGUAGGCUGAUUAGUAAGUUAAAAGUGAAAUCCCAAAGCUUAACUUUGGAAUUGCUUUUAAAACUGUUAAUCUAGAGGUUGAAAGAGGAUAGAGGAAUUCCUAGUGUAGAGGUGAUAUUCGUAAAUAUUAGGAGGAACACCAGUGGCGAAGGCGUCUAUCUGGUUCAAAUCUGACGCUGAGGCGCGAAGGCGUGGGGAGCAAACAGGAUUAGAUACCCUGGUAGUCCACGCUGUAAACGAUGAAUGUUAAAUAUGGGAAGUUUACUUUCUGUAUUACAGCUAACGCGUUAAACAUUCCGCCUGGGGACUACGGUCGCAAGAUUAAAACUCAAAGGAAUUGACGGGGACCCGCACAAGCGGUGGAGCAUGUGGUUUAAUUCGAUGCAACGCGAAAAACCUUACCACUCCUUGACAUGGGAAUUAUUCCUAUUCGAAGGAAUAGGGUCGGUUCGGCCGGAUUUCACACAGGUGUUGCAUGGCUGUCGUCAGCUCGUGU